GCUGGGCAUGGUGGUGCACGCCUGUGAUCCCAGCUACAUGGAGGCUGAGGCAGGAGGAUAGUUUGUGCCCAGGAGGUCAAGGCUGCAGUGAGCCUUAUGGCACUGCACUCCAGCCUGGGUGACAGACUAAGACCCUGUCUCAG
ensembl:misc_RNA Metazoa_SRP Metazoan signal recognition particle RNA